rnacentral:ncRNA from 1 species
GAUAAUUGGUCAGGUGUUCAUAGCGAUGUCACUUUUUGAUCCUUCAGUGUCAGCUCUUCCUAUCAUCUUGAAGCAGAAUUCAUCAAGCCUUCUAUUGUUCACCCGCUAAUAGAGAAUAUAAGGUGAGUUUAGCUUGUUGUAAGAUGGUAU